rnacentral:rRNA from 1 species
GACGAACGCUGGCGGCGUGCUUAACACAUGCAAGUCGAACGAUGAACCCGGAGCUUGCUCCGGUGGAUCAGUGGCGAACGGGUGAGUAACCUGCCCUUGAUUCUGGGAUAACUGCGGGAAACUGUAGCUAAUACCGGAUACGACCCUCGGCGGCAUCGCCAGGGGGUGGAAAGAAUUUCGGUCAAGGAUGGACUCGCGGCCUAUCAGCUAGUUGGGGAGGUAACGGCUCACCAAGGCGACGACGGGUAGCCGGCCUGAGAGGGUGACCGGCCACACUGGGAGUGAGAAACGGCCCAGAGUCCUACGGGAGGCAGCAGUGGGGAAUAUUGCACAAUGGGCGCAAGCCUGAUGCAGCAACGCCGCGUGAGGGGUGACGGCCUUCGGGUUGUAAACCUCUUUUAGUAGGGAAGAAGCGAAAGUGACGGUACCUGCAGAAAAAGCACCGGCUAACUACGUGCCAGCAGCCGCCGUAA